rnacentral:rRNA from 1 species
GACGAACGCUGGCGGCGUGCUUAACACAUGCAAGUCGUACGGUAAGGCCCUUUCGGGGGUACACGAGUGGCGAACGGGUGAGUAACACGUGAGUAACCUGCCCACAACUUUGGGAUAACGCUAGGAAACUGGUGCUAAUACUGGAUAUGUGCUCCUGCUGCAUGGUGGGGGUUGGAAAGCUCCGGCGGUUGUGGAUGGACUCGCGGCCUAUCAGCUUGUUGGUGGGGUAGUGGCCUACCAAGGCGGCGACGGGUAGCCGGCCGGAGAGGGUGACCGGCCACAUUGGGACUGAGAUACGGCCCAGACUCCUACGGGAGGCAGCAGUGGGGAAUAUUGCACAAUGGGCGCAAGCCUGAUGCAGCAACGCCGCGUGCGGGAGGACGGCCUUCGGGUUGUAAACCGCUUUCAGCAGGGACGAAGCUUUUUGUGACGGUACCUGCAGAAGAAGCACCGGCUAACUACGUG